rnacentral:rRNA from 1 species
UACGUAGGGUGCGAGCGUUAAUCGGAAUUACUGGGCGUAAAGCGUGCGCAGGCGGUUUUGCAAGCCGGAUGUGAAAUCCCCGGGCUUAACCUGGGAAUGGCAUUUGGGACUGCAAGGCUCGAGUGCGGCAGAGGAGACUGGAAUUCCUGGUGUAGCAGUGAAAUGCGUAGAUAUCAGGAGGAACACCGAUGGCGAAGGCAGGUCUCUGGGCUGACACUGACGCUCAUGCACGAAAGCGUGGGGAGCAAACAGG